GACGAACGCUGGCGGCGUGCUUAACACAUGCAAGUCGAACGGUGAAGCGCCUUCCUUUUUGGUGGGUGUGGAUGAGUGGCGAACGGGUGAGUAACACGUGAGUAACCUGCCCCCUUCUUCUGGAUAACCGCAUGAAAGUGUGGCUAAUACGGGAUAUUCUGGGUCUGUCGCAUGAUGGGUCUGGGAAAGAUAUUGUUUCGGUGGGGGAUGGGCUCGCGGCCUAUCAGCUUGUUGGUGGGGUGAUGGCCUACCAAGGCGGUGACGGGUAGCCGGCCUGAGAGGGUGGACGGUCACACUGGGACUGAGACACGGCCCAGACUCCUACGGGAGGCAGCAGUGGGGAAUAUUGCACAAUGGGCGCAAGCCUGAUGCAGCGACGCCGCGUGCGGGAUGGAGGCCUUCGGGUUGUGAACCUCUUUCGCCAGUGAAGCAGGCCUGCCUCGUUUGUGGGUGGGUUGACGGUAGCUGGAGAAGAAGCGCCGGCUAACUACGUG
rnacentral:rRNA from 1 species